rnacentral:rRNA from 1 species
UACGAAGGGGGCUAGCGUUGUUCGGAAUCACUGGGCGUAAAGCGCACGCAGGCGGAUCGUUAAGUCAGGGGUGAAAUCCCGAGGCUCAACCUCGGAACUGCCUUUGAUACUGGCGAUCUUUGAGUCCGGGAGAGGUGAGUGGAACUCCGAGUGUAGAGGUGAAAUUCGUAGAUAUCGAGAGGAACACCGGUGGCGAAGGCGGCGAUCUGGACGAUGACUGACGCUGAGACGCGAAAGCGUGGGGAGCAAACAGG